rnacentral:lncRNA from 1 species
UAAGCAGGCUAGCACACGACAAAGAAACCAUGGUGGUUGUAGACAACACCUUCGCUCCCAUGGUUCUUUCCCCUGCUCGGCUUGGUGCUGAUGUGGUUGUCCAUAGUAUCUCCAAGUUCAUCAGCGGUGGAGGCGAUGUUAUUGCAGGUUUGUUUGUCGUAUGUUUCUCAUUUACGGUACACGCGUCUGACAUAUCAUCUCAUUGUUUUACGUCGGAAAAAGAGCCAUCAGUGACGUUUUAUCCUUUGAUUAAUUAAGUUAAAUAGUGGUAUCUAGGAAAUUGUUUUCAGAGUUUUGAUGAAAACUGCAUGCCUUCUUUAAAAAAAAAAAAGAGGAGAGAACAGAAAAUACUAUGAAUUGAGGAUUCAUAAUCGUAAAAUAAAAUGAGAAAAAAUAUGGUCUUCCGCAUUCCAAAAGUUCGGAUUCAUGAAAGGCAAACGAAUAGAUAUCUGGUAUGAAAAUAAAAACUCUAUAAAUAAUGGAUCGAAAAAAUGUUUUAGGCUAGUGGGGGAACAUGUUCUCGUGAAUGAUGAUAUAAGGAAUAGUUAAACUUUUAUUGGCCUAGUGUUAAAAAGAAAGCUUAACAAGACAUGUAAGAUAGAAGUUCGAACUUAUCAUCCCAAUUCUCCGAUCCUUUGGAUAAAAAAACUUUAAAAAAUAGUUAAGUUUGGUUUUCUAACUAUCUUUUUUAUGGCUGAUAAGGAUACUCUCCGGCAAUUUCACUAAUUUUUCAAAUUUUCACUGAUAAUAUCAUCAUCAUGGAUUUGAGGUGUGCAUUCCGAUCCUCCUUUGCCUCUUAUGGAUAAGCUUUCAUGUGAUGGGUUCUGUCUUUUUUAUUUUUGCGAUAAAUUCUGUCUACAAACUUAAAAUUUCAGGGCCUUAAAAUUGACAUUUUCUAGUUGAAAAGUAAAAGUGUCUCUUUUACAAAUUCUUUUAAUAAUCGUUUGCCCUAAUGUUAUUAGUAGCUAACUUCUAGGCAAAACAAACUUGCCAAAACCAUUAGUUCUUGUGAAAUAUAAAAUCUUUUUUUUAGUACCGUUUCAGUUUCUUGUAUUGGAAUAUAGUAACUAUCAUUGUCAGAAUUGUAGGCAGUAUUUUGUUAAUCCAAUAAAAUGGCAACUUUCAGGUGCUGUUUGUGGUCCAGGAAGGCUGGUGAACUCCAUGAUGGACCUUCAUCAAGGUGCUUUGAUGCUCCUAGGCCCGACCAUGAACGCCAAGGUUGCCUUCGAACUCUCUGAAAGGAUCCCUCACUUGGGCCUACGAAUGAAGGAGCACAGUCGCAGAGCCAUGGAUUAUGCCGCUAGAAUGAAGAAAUUGGGAUUCAGGGUGAUCUACCCGGGCCUUGAGGAUCACCCUCAACACGAGCUGUUGAAGUCCAUGGCCAACAAGGAAUAUGGGUUUGGUGGUCUUCUUUGUGUUGACAUGGAAUCUGAAGAAAGAGCUAACGGGCUGAUGGACCACUUGCAAAACUACAGUCAAUUUGGGCUCAUAGCGGUUAGCUUAGGUUACUAUGAGACUCUGAUGUCAUGCUCUGGUAGUAGCACCAGUAGUGAAAUGAAUGAUGAAGAGAAGGCACUUGCCGGUAUUUUGCCAGGGCUGGUGAGGAUGUCCAUUGGAUAUAUUGGGACACUGGAGCAGAAGUGGAGCCAAUUAGAAAAGGCGCUAUCUAGGAUGCACGAUUCCACCUCAUUCAAUGAAAACUAAAGUUCUUUCAUCUCGUGUUCAAUAAUAAGUUUGCCGUAGUUUACGUAAAGAAGGUUUUAUUUUUGGUAUUUCAAUUGUUAAAGGCUGGACCUUUUGCGUAAUAUAAUGUUUUUUAGAAAAGGAAAAUAUAAACUUGAACUUCAACAAGUCUUCUCUAGAUGCAACAACUUAGAACAAAAGUGAAGAUAAAAUAUACCAUAAGUUGCGCUUUCUUUGCCGUUGAUUCUCUUUUCAAUUUGACUUUGCCCAUAUUCAACGUUGAGCUUUAUCAUCUUCCUAGAAUUUGUGUCCAAACGAAAGGUGGAGGAGAAGAAAAAGAAUCGCUGAGUCAGCUAUCCAGUGUCCAAACGUGAACCAAUGGUUUUUUCUUCUGUAAACAAUGUUCUUGCCGUCGGGCCCUGCAACUAUGGCAUGCUACAGCCCAAAGUUCACUAUUUUUAAGUGAAAGUCUGAAACACAAAACUCGUUCAGGCCAGUGUUUAGAAUCAACCAACUUUUGUUAAGAGUUAAAGGUAGCAGAAGUAAAGAUCAACUGAUCAAGCAAGUACUUAUCAUCAUCAAAAAAUCAUAUGAAGAGGGUCAGGACCAAGAAAACUGGGGUUCAAUAAAUUAUUUGCCAACCAAAUAUAUGGGCCAAAUAGAUGGGCUUCAUUUAACAAAAAUUUAUAUAUCAGAUUCCAUUGCCCUGACAGUUUUUUAUUGGGCUUACAACCCAAAGAAAUAAAGCUAAUCGAGGCUUUUCUUAGGACCAAUUCCUAUACCAGCAUUCAUCGAAGAGAAAAGGAUAUACGAAAAUAUGCUAAUGAUUAUAUUAAAAUGCUUUUUAAAAACUUAGCUUAGUCGAAUUCAACCGAUAUUAACAUGACAGAUUUAAAUAUAAUAAUGGAGGCUUGUCAAACGUGUUUAUUUUUUGGGAAAAAAAAUUCAAAAAUGGCAUAGAUACAUUAGUUAUAUUUUUUGAUUAAAUGGCAAUUUUAUUUAUCCAAGAAGUAAGAAAGAUAAACUUGCUACAAAAAAAUUCAUCAAGUAUAAUGGGUACCAGCUAUUAUAUAUGUACAGAUAAAGAAUUACAAAGUUCAUAGUGUAUAAAAAGUUUCCGAAUUAUAAUUAAAAAUUAUUUAAUUUUUAUUUAAUUUUUAUUGUAAUUAAUCAACUCCUUCAAUAUUUAUUUGCAUCUAAUUAAAUUUUUAUUUAGUUGAAAAAGUUGACAUCGUUAGUUAUUUUUGUGAAAUAAGAUAAACUUUUAUUUGACAUCAAUAAAAUUGAUAAGAAUAUGUCACAUGAGACAUUUACAUUAAGAAUAUUAGGAUCACUUACAUUAGUGUAAGUUUUGCAUUUGUUUAACUUUUAGAUCAAAAUUAAAUCCAUGUCUAUUUUGAAUUCUUUUGUCUUAACUAUUUAGAUCAAUGAUAAAAAAAAAAUAAAAUUAAGUGGAUCUCUUUUUAUAUAUAAAAUUUUUCGUAUUCAAAAUUAUACUAUUAUAUAUGACUAUUUAAUGUUAAUAGAUCAAAGCGUUGAGAUUAAACUGUUUUUUCUCAUUUUUACUUAUUUAUCUUAUUCAUUGGAUCUAUUAAAAUUAAGAAAUAGAAAAUUUUGUAAAAUUAAAAAAAAUUUAACACUAUAUAAGUUAUACCUCCCUAUAUAUAUAUAUAUACAUUUACACUUGCAUCAUUUAUCUUCUUUAUUUAUUUAUUUUUGAAUGAAUUUAUUUUCUUUAUUUGUUUGUUUAUUUCCUAAAUUUAAAUCAUGAAAUUAAUUAUAUAUUGAAGCUAAUUACAAUAUUAUUUGUUUGACAGAAAUUUAAGUUGCGUCAUGCAUGCAUGAUUCAUGCAUGUGCCCAGCGUAUGAACAAAAAAGAAAUGAUUUCUGGUCUCAACAUACUCCAUCAUAAUUACAAUAUUAGUAGUAUUUCUUUAUGGCUUUGACGAAAAUGACAAACUCUUCUUUCCUUCCUUUAAGCCCUCGAAGGGAUAAAUGAACGUAUGGAGGUACAAAGCUGGAACUAAGAAGAGUUUCUCUUGCAUUUAUGAUCCAGGAUCGAUCUAAGACACUCAACCUUAAAAAAAAAAAAGAGGCGGUGGCCUGCUGGUUGAUCAGAUAAGAACACCCACUCACCGUUGUUGUCAACAAAUAACAAGUGUCCAUGGUUCUCAUUCGUCAGGAUUUUGAUGAAGGAAUUCAUAGCCCCACUUGGAUUGUGAUGUGCUUACAAUUUGCUCGGAAGGGGAUAUGAUUUUUCUUCUUUUUCAAUUUCUCACUCUUUUCAUUUUUUAACAAGGUUUUAUCAAUGAAAACGUGGCAUAUUGCAGUUGCAGAUCAUGUCCGAAUAAGUCAAGAUCCAAACCAGAAAAGAAAAGAAAAGAAAAGAAAGGGAAUUAAAAUCGUACUGGCAUUACAUAAGUUGGAAUGAAAGGAUAUUCCGUAGGGAAUUGAAAAUUCUCAAAAUAUAUUAGUUGUUAAAAUUAAUUUCAUUCAAAUUUUGGUUAAAAACAAAAGUCAAAAUAGAGACCACACAAAAACGACAAAACAACCUUGCAAUUAACAAACGACACUGUUAUGAAAAUUAAUCCUUUAAAUGUAUGGUUCUUUCCCCUGCUCGGCUUGGUGCUGAUGUGGUUGUCCAUAGUAUCUCCAAGUUUAUCAGCGGUGGGAGCGAUGUUAUUGCAGGUUGGUUUGUAGUAUGUGUCUCAUUUACGGUACACGCGUCAGACAUUAAUCUCAUUUUUUUACGCUGGAAAAACAGCCAUCGAUGACAUGUGUUUUCAGAGUUUUGGUGAAAACUGCCCACUUCCAAAGAAAAACCGAAAAUACUAUGAAUUGAGGAUUCAGAAUCAUAAAAUAAAAUGGGUAAGGAAUAUAGUCAUGCACGUUCCAAAAGUUCGGAUUCAUUAAAGGCAAACGAUCGAAUAUGAUUCUGGUAUGAAUAUAAAAACUCUAAAUAAUGGAUAGGAAAAUUGUUUUAGGGCUAGUGGGGGUGGGGGAGGGGAACUUUUCUCGUGAAUGAUGAUGCUAUUACGUACCGGUAACUUGCAAAGCAGGCAAAUAUUAUUCAAACACAAAUUCUCCUGUUUCUACUUUAAUAAAUAGAUUAAGCCAAUGUAUUAUAUAUAAAAUUAUGAUAAGAUAAAAUAAUAUUAUAAAUAAAAUAAAAUAAAAUAAUUUUAUUUUAUAUUUGAUAUGUGUAAAAAUUAUAAUAAAAUAAUUUAUUUAUUGAUCAAAUUAUUUUUUAAAAAAUUUUAUAUAGUUUAAAUUAUUAAUAUAAUUUUUAAAAAUAUAAUAAAAUAUAUAAAUUCAAUCUUAUAAAUUAAAAAUAAUUUUUUUACUUUAAAAAAAUUAAUUAUCUUACAUUAAAAAGACGAUGAUUUUUUUUAUAAUCAAAUUAUAGUUUUAAAUAUAAAUUAAAUAUAAUAAAAUAAUUAUCAUUUUAUUUUAUAUAUUAUUCUGUACAGCAAAUAUGACCUUGAUUCGUUUUCUAACUAUCUUUUUUAUGGCUGAUAAGGAUAUUCUCCUGCAGCUGCAACUUCACUAAUUUUUCAAAUUUUCACCGAUAAGGAUUCCAUCAUUGUCAGAGAAUCCUGGUAGUGUAGGCAAUAUUUUGUUAAUUCAAUAAAAUGGGAAUUUUCAGGUGCUGUUUAUGGUCCUGCAAGCCUGGUGAACUCCAUGAUGGACCUUCAUCAAGGUGCUCUGAUGCUCCUAGGCCAGACCAUGAACUCCAUGGUUGCCUUUGAGCCCUCUGAAAAGGAUCCCUCACUUGGGCCUUAAAUGAAGGAGCACAGUGGCAGAACCAUGGAUUAUGCCACUAGAAUGAAGAAACUGGGCCUCAGGGUGAUCUACCUGGGCCUUGAGGAUCAACCUCAAGACGAGCUAUUGAAGUCCAUGGCCAACAAGGAAUAUGGGUUUGGUGAUCUCCUUUGACAUGGAAUCUGAAGAAAGGGCUAACAGGCCGAUGCACCACUUUCAGAACUACAGUCAAUUUGGGUUCACAGCGAUUAGCUCGGGUUACUAUGAGACUCUGAUGUCUUGCUCUUGUAGUAGUACCAGCAAGGAAUUGACUGAUGAAGAGAAGGCACUUACCGGUAUUUCGCCAGGGCUGGUGAGGAUGCCCAUUGGAUACAUUGGGACACUGCAGAAGAAGUGGAGUCCAUUAGAAAAGGCGCUCUCUAUUAUGCACGAUUCCACCUUAUUCAAUAAAAACUAAAGUUCUUUCAUCUCGUGUUCAAUAAUGGGUUGGUCGUAGUUCAUGUAAUGAAGGUUUCAUUUGUUCUAUUUCAGUUGUUAAUGUAAGUCAUAGAGAUAAUAUAGAUGGUUAAAAAAAAAAAAAAGAAAAGAACUAUAUAUAUGUAGAAGUGUGGAUCGAAUAAAUUUGGAAUUAAUUCUGUAAAUGUUCAUGUAGACAUUAAUGCAAAUUUGAAAAAACAUAUAUGAUUUGUGUUGUCAUAUUUUUUAUUUUUUAUAAAAAGGAGAUUACAAUAUGAUGAUAAAAAAUCAUGAAAAAUAAGCUAUAACGACUUACUGGAUGCCAUUUAAAUUGUCUAUACAUGCAAAAUAUCACAAAAAAUAAGUUAUCAUGUAUAUUUUGUUUCUCUCUUUUUGUUUCUUUUGUAUACUUUAUUUAUCAUCAUCACUGUCCGGAUAUACAUUAGCAUGUGGAAUUAGAGGGAAAAUUAUACUAUCAUAUCUUUUCUGACUAUGCAAAACUUAUAUAUACAUAUAUAUAUAUAUAUAUAUCUGUUGCACUUGCAUCCUUAUCUUAUUUAUUUGUUUGUUUAUUUCCUUUGUAUCUAUACAUAUUUAAACCAUAAAAUUAUAUAUUGAAGCUAAUUACAAUAUUAUUUUUUUAACAGAAAUUCAGCAUGAUUCAUUCAUGUGCCCAACGUAUAAACAAAGAACGAAAUGAUUCUUGCUCUCAACAUACUCCAUCAUGAUUACAAUAUUAGUAGUAUUUCUUUUUGGCUUUGAUGAAAAUGACAAAGUCCUCCUUGAAUUUGUUAGAAAAAUAAGGUCCAGCCUCAUGUAAGUGGUUUUAGACCAAGUAAAGGUUAUGAGCCUUGAUCUUUCAUUUUACACAGACAUAUAGUUACUUAAUAAAAAAGAGGUGGGGUUAUUUUAAGUGGGUGUCGAAAACCAAGUAAAGAAAAAAGAAAAGUAAAAAAAAAUAGAGAAAAAAGAAAGAAAGAAGAGUUGGUUGAACAGAAGUCGAUCUGUGGUCCGAUUGAGUUGGAACCUUGUCAGGAGGUUUAUGAUUCAGAGUUCUACAUUCUGAACGGUGAAGAUCGAGUAUAAAGCUCUCUAGGAACAAAUCCAUGGUGUAUUUAUUGAGUAACUUAUUUGGUUAGAUUUCUCAAAUUGUUUCUCUAGUUGUUGAUUAGCUCUAGUUUUAGCUAGAGAAGAACUUUGUAUACCUAUUAUUUGAUAGUGAAGAUUUUUCUGGUGGUUCGUGAUUUUUUUCUCUACAUUGGAGGGUUUUUUACGUAAAUCUUGGUGUACUUUAUUUUUUUUUGCGUUUUUUGAUUACUGAUUGUUGUCUAUUAUUUCUGUAUUAUUAUGAUUAUUACUUCAGGUGCAACAAGUGAUAUCAGAAUGAGGGUUAUUUUGAAACAUCGAUACAUAAGCAACCUCGGAUAAAAGUAAAUUAUGUUUGAGAUCAUGAAGGGUGAUACAGGUUUCUUGAUAAAAUUAACAACAUCGAAUUAUUCAAUUUGAAAGUCUAUGAUGGAGGAUCAUCUAUACUGUAAAGAUUUGUAUGAGCCAGUAUUGGGUGAUUCAACUAAACCAACAGAAUAAAAGAUGAAAGCUGAAAGAAGCUAGGUAAAAAGAUGCUAGCUACAAUCAAAAAAUAGGUUGAUAUAAGUGUGUUCCAUCAUGUAACGCAGGAGUCAGAUGCUCACAUUGUUUGAAAAAAAUUGACAGCAUUGCAUGAGAGAAAAAUAGGUAUGAAUAAAGUUAUGCUUGUUAAAAAGCUUACAAUUUUACAGUACAGGGAUGAACGAUCUGUUACAAAGCACUUGAGUGAUUUUCAAGAUAUAUUUAAUCGGAUGACUACUAUGGUACUUAAGAUGGAUGAUGAAAUGAAGACGUUAUUUCUUUUGGGUUCAUUGUCAAACAGUUGAAAUACUCUAGUUGUGACUGUUCUUAAUUCAGCUCCUGAUUAUAAGGUGACAUUGGAAAUGGUAAAGGACAAUAUGCUUAAUGAAGAAGCAAGAUGAAAAGAUGUAGACCCUGAAAAUCAAGCUCUGGUCACAGAAAACAGGGAUAGAAAUAUCGACAGAGGUCAUGACUCAAAAAGUCAUAGUAAGUCUAAACAUAGAUCCCAGUCUAGAGGUAAAGUGAAGUGUUGCUAUUGUGGUAAGGCAUGUUAUAUAAAAUGAAACUGUAAAAUCUUGAAGCAAGAGCGAAAAGAUAAGAAAGGUAAGAGUUCAGAUGAUGGUAACGUUAUAGCAGUGAAUUCAGAUAGUGAUUCAGUUACUUUGAUUUGUACACAUGAUGAUUGUAAUCAUAUUAGUGAUCCCGACAUUAAGUGGAUAGUUGACACAGGAAUAACAUAUCAUUGUAUUUCUAAGAGAGAGUUAUUUACAACUUACAAAGCAAGAGACUUUAGUUGUACUAAAAUAAAAAACAUGAGUGUGUCGUAGAUUGUUAAGAUUGAUGAUAUUGUUGUACAAACUAGUACAGGCUACAUGUUAACUUUGAGGGAUAUCAGACACAUUUCAGAUAUGAGAAUGAACUUGCUUGCUAUUAAUAUCUUUGAUAAGGAGGGAUAUGAAAGUCGACAAAAGAAUAGACAAUGAAAGCUUUUCAAAAGAUCUAUAGUAGUUGCAAGAGAAAAAUUAUGCUGCACAAUAUAUAAGACAUGGAUGUAAUUGAACGGUAACCAGGUAAAUGCCAUUAAAAAUGAUGCUUCAACAAACUUAUGGCACAGGAGGCUAGCACACAUGAGUGAAAAAAGUUUACAGGUUUUGGCAAAGCCAUCUCUUAUUUCCUUGACCAAAAGUAUGUCUCUCGAUUCAUGUAAUUAUUGUUUGUUUGGUAAGCAUCAUAGAGUUUUUUUUCGUAAAAGUUCUCAGAGAAAAAAAAGAUUGAAAUUAAUUUAUUCUGACAUAUGUGGUCCCAUUGAGGUUAAGUCAUUAGGUGGUAGCAGAUAUUUUAUUACUUUUGUUGAUGAUGCUUCACGUAAGACUUGGGUGUAUAUGUUGAAAUACAAAAGUCAGGUACUACAGUAUUUUUAAAAAUUUUAUAUCAUGGUUGAAAAGAUGACAAAGUUAUCCUUGAAGUGUAUUCGAACUGAUAAUAGUAGGGAAUACACAUCUAAAUGCUUUGAAGAGUAUUGUUCAAAGUAUAAGAUCAGGCAUAAGAUGAUAGAACCUGGAACACCGUAGCAUAAUGGUAUAACUGAAAGAAUGAAUCGUACCAUUAUGAAAAAAGUCAAAUGUAUGUUGAGGAUGAAAAAAUUACCAAAGCCAUUCUGGGGUAAAACAGUUAACACGACUUGUUAUUUACUUAACAGAUCACCAUCAGUUCUUUUGAGCUUUGACAUUUCAGAAAGAGUGUAGACAAGAAAAGAUACUUUAUACUCUCACUUGAAAGUUUUUGGGUGUAAAGCAUUCAUGCAUGUGUCGAAAGAGCAGAGAUCAAAGCUUGACAGUAAAGCCACACAGUGUGUGUUUGUAGGAUAUGAUGAAAAAUUUGAUUACAGGGUAUAAAAUCCAGUAAAGAAAAAGACAAUCAAAAGUAAAGAUGUAAUCUUUCAUGAAAAAAAAAUCAUAGCAGACCUUGAAAAAAAUGAGAAGACUACACGAGUUACUGUUGAGUAUGAUAUUUUAACACCGACAGAGAUUCCACAGAAAGAGCCACAAAUGGUGAAAAUGAGCAAGAAACAGAACUUGGAAAUAUGAAUAAGCUAGCCACAGUUGGUGAUGAGCCAGAUGUAAUUAGUUUUGAACAAGAUGAGCAAUCCUCUCUACCUGAGAGUGUUGAACAUGAGGAGUUACCUUUGGCAUCAAGUGAUAUAGAAUCUCAGCUUAGGAGAUCUACUAAAGAGUACAAGCCAUCUAUCAGGUAUCUAAGUUCAGAUUUUAUUUUAGUUACCAGUAAAUGAGAGCCAGAAAGCUUUCAAGAUGUACAGGCUAUUUCGGAUAGAGAGUACUGGUUAAAAGUAAUAAAAAAAUAGAUGAAAUCAUUGCAAAAGAAUGAUACUUACGAUCUUAUUAAACUUCUAACAGGGAAGAGGCCAUUAAAGAAUAAAUGAGUAUUCAAGUUGAAAAAAGAUGGUGAUAAACUAGUGAGGUACAAAGCUCGAUUGGUAGUAAAAUGGUUUUCUCAGAAAUCGGGCAUCGAUUUUAAUGAGAUUUUUACUCCAGUUGUAAAGAUGAGUUCUAUUCGAGUGGUACUGGGAUUAAUAGCUAGUUUAAAUCUUGAGCUUGAGCAACUUAAUAUUAAAACUAUAUUUUUGCAUGGUGAUUUACAUGUGGACAUUUAUAUUAAUCAGCUUGAGGGUUUUAAAGUGAAAGGGAAAGAGCACUUAGUUUACAAAUUGAAAAAAAAACUUGUAUGGCUUGAAACAAGCUCCGCGAUAGUGGUACAAGAAGUUUGAUUCUUUUAUGGUGAGUCAUAGCUAUAAAAAAUAACAGCUGAUUCUUGUGUGUAUGUUAAACAAUUUUCUAAUGGUAACUUCAUUAUCCUAUUAUUAUAUGUUGAUGAUAUGUUAAUUGUAGGAUAAGAUGCUAGUAUGGUUUACAGGUUGAAAGAACAAUUGUCUAAGUCUUUUGAUAUGAAAGAUUUAGGUUCAGUAAAACAGAUUCUUGGUAUGAACAUUAUCCGAGAUAAAAGAGCUAAAAAGCUAUGGUUGUCAUAGGAAAAGUAUGUUGAACGAGUGCUUGGUAGAUUUAACAUGCAACAUGCUAAAUCAGUUAGCAGUCCAAUUACCAAUCAUUUUUAUCUAAGUAAGAAAUCUUGUCCAGUGUCUAAGGAAGAGUAACUAGCUAUGUCUAGUAUUCCUUAUUCUUCUGCGGUUGGUUCUUUAAUGUAUCUUAUGGUUUGUACAAGGCCUGAAAUUACUCAUGUAAUUAGUGUAGUGAGCAUAUUUCUUUCUAAUUCGAAAAAAAGUUCAUUGAAAAGUAGUGAAAUUGAUUUUUAGAUAUUUGAGAGGUACCUUAAAAAUGUGCUUGACUUAUAAAGUUUCACAACCAGUUUUAGAAGGGUUUACGAAUGCUGAUAUGGCAGACGAUCUUGAUGGUAGAAAAUCUACUUCAGGGUAUUUGUUCACUUUUACAGGAAGAAUUGUAUCUUGGCAAUCUAAGUUACAGAAGUGUGUUGCUUUAUCAAUUACAGAGAUUGAGUAUAUUACAGUAAUUAAAGCAUGUAAAAAAAUGCUUUGGAUGAAACGUUUUCUUUUUGAAUUGAGGUUGAAUCAGAAAGAGUAUGUGAUAUUUUGUGAUAACCAGAGUACUUUAGAUUUGAGUAAGAAUACCAUGUACCAUGCUAGAACAAAGCACAUUGAUGUUAGAUAUCAUUGGUUAUGUUCAGUGAUUGAAGAACAACGAUGCUAUUGAAGAAAGUUCAUACUGAUAAGAAUAUAGUAGAUAUGUUGACUAAGAUACUUCCAAGAAAAAAGCUUGAGCUUUGCAGUAACUUGGCCGGAAUGAGUUCCCUGGCCAAGGUAAGUUCCAAAUGAAACUGCUAUGGUGAUGAAUCUCCUUUUAAUGGGGCUGGAUGGGGAGAUUGUUAUGAAAAUGGGGUCCAACCUCAUGUAAGUGAUUUUGGACCAAGUAAAGGCCAUAGGCCUUGAUCUUUCAUUUUACAUAGAGUCCUAGCUACUUAAUAAAAAAGAGGUGGGGUUGUUUUAAGUGGGUGGCAAAAACCAAGUAGAGAAAGAAGAAAAGCCAAAAAAAAUAGAGAGAAAAAAGAGAAUGGAGAGUUGGUUGAACGAAAAUCGAUCCGUGGUCCGAUUGAGUUGGAACAUUGUCAAGAGAUUUAUGAUUAAGAGUUCUACAUUCUGAACAGUGAAGAUCGGGUUUGAAGCUCUCUAGGAACAAAUUCAUGAUAUAUUUGUUGAGUCACUUAUUUGGUAAAAUUUCUCAAAUUAUUUCUCUAGUUGUUGAUUAGCUCUAGUUUUAGCUAGAGAAGAACUUUGUAUAUUUAUUAUUUGAUAGUGAAGAUUUUUUUGGUGGUCCGUGAUUUUUUUCCUCUACACUAGAGGGUUUUUUACGUAAAUCUUGGUGUGCUUUAUUUUUUCUAUAUUUUUUUAUUAUUGAUUAUUAUUUAUUGCUUUUGUAUUGUUGUGAUUAUUGCUUCAGGCGUAACGAAAUUUGUCAAAACCCGACUUUCUUCUUUGUCAAAUCUAGACAUCUUGUCUUUGGUCCAAAUAAAAGGAUUACCCUGCUUUCAAAUACCUAACCUUUCAUAUCUCCACUUUCCGAUUACUAAUAAUAUGGGAUAUAGUAAUACAGUUUAUAAGUUAAUAGUAAUAAUUAAGCGGUGUUUUUCUCUUCAUAUCUCCUCUUUCCUUCGAAGGGAUAUUUGAAAGUAUGGAGGUACAUAACUGGAAAUAAGAAGAGUUCAUCUUGUAUGUAUGAUCCAGAAUCGAUGAAGACACUCAACCUUAAAAAAAAAAAAAAUGAGGUGCUGGCCUGCUGGUGAUCAGAUAAGAACAUUUUGCACGUUGUUAUCAGCAAAUAGAACGUGCCCAUGGUUGUCACUUGUCAGAAUCUUGAUGAAGUGGCAGAUAAACUUCCACUUGGAACGUGAUGCGUUUACAAAUUUUCUCGGAAGGGGAUAUCUUUUUUUUUUCUUUUCAAUUUCUAACUAACAGGGUUUUAUCAAUGAAAAUGUGGCAUAUUGUAGUUGCAGAUCAUGUCUCAUUAAGACAAUUUCAAAGCCAGAUAAGUAAAGAAAGGAAAAUCAUACUGGAAUUAUACAAGUCGUAAUGACAGAAUAUUACUUGUUAGAAUUAAUUUCAAUCAAAUUUUGGUUAUAAUCAAAAGUCAAAAUAGAGAUAUGACUUCACAAAAACGAUCUAACAAUUUGAUACGACACUGCUACGUGUUUGCGUUUGUAACAUCCUUUAAAAUGUCGUCUCUGUUAGUUUAUUGCAACGUCAAUAACUUAAAUUUGGUUUGACGAUUACCUACUUCUCUCGCCUUUCUCCAAUCUAAUAGAUAAAUAGUAGAAGUGCCGACUCCUUUUGAACUGUUGAUGUUGGCAUAUGGUUUUAUAGUUUUCUCCUUUACGCUUUCCACUCCAUGCACUAAUUAUGACCAAAUAGUCAAAAACAUACCUAUAGAUAUCUAUCUGCAUGUUUUGGAAGACUAAAGAAUAUUUAUUUGUCUUAAAAAAAAUUUACUAGCUGUUGUGUGUGAAAAGAGAGUUGCGAAGGCGUCGGUAAUAAUUUUAGGGUUGGGAUGGGUAAAUUAUAGGUUUAGAUAAUUUUUUAUUUUUGAGAAUCUAAUUACGAAAAGUUAUGAUUUGAUCAUUAAAAUUUAUGAAAAAUUUUUUUAUCAUUCAAUUAUUAGAAAUUAAUUAACGAAAUGUUGACAUAAUAUUAUGGUAUCAUUUGUCAAAAUGUCGUAUAAUAUUGCUUUGACAUUCGAUAUAUCAUAUGACACUAUUUGCGUAGCAUAAUAAGUUUUGAAAAUUAAACAAGAUAAAUUACAUUUUUAAUCUCUUAACUUUUUGAAAGUUUUUAUUGUUUUAAUCCAACUUUGAAAACUUUACAAUUUGAUUAUUAAUGUUUUUGAAAUUAUUCAUAUUUUUAAUAUUUUGUUACAUGAAAGUAAUGCUACAAAUUUUUAUUUUUAUUAGGAUGUUGUCGUUAUAAAAUAUUUAAUAUUUAAUAUUUAAUAUUUCAUUUAAGUUUUCUUGAUUGGUUAAUGUAAUAUAUUAAAAUACUUAAAUUUAUUUGAGUGAGCUGGAUGACAAAUACUUUUAAGUAAUGCUAAUCAAGUAAAUUUAGCAAUUGGCUUUAAUCAUAUUCUUUUUAAAUUUAAAGGGUAUAAUAAUUUUAAUUUUAUGCACUAAAAAUAUUGAUUGCUCAUUUUUUUAAUAAAGUUCAAAACUUUAUUUGAAUAUUAUCUUAGUAUCUUUCAAUAUAGAUAACAAAAAUAACAUAACAAUUUAUUAUUUUAAUAAAAAAUUGUUGAUUAAAUUGUUAUAAAGUCAUGUGACAAUGAGACAUUGAAAAAUUUUUCAGGAGCAUGUCAACUACAAUUGGGUGACCAAAAAUAAAUUCAUAAAGCUAAUAACUAAAUUUUAACUUUUCAUAAUUAAUGAUCAAAAUAAAAAAUCGUCUAAAGGUGAAUGAUUAAAAGUGUAAUAUAUUAUCGUUAAAAAAUACGUGUUAACCCUUCAAAAAAAUUGUUAAUUGGCAUAUACAUGAUAUUGUAAUAUUGUAAUUAAUAUGAAUUAAUUAAAUAUUUAUUUAUUCAAAAAAAUCACCUACAAAGUCUUUAUAAGCAAACAUCUAAAUAAUUAAUAAUGUCAUAUUUUAAUUUGAAUAUCUCGAUUUCAAAUCAUAUAAAUAAAGAAUUUGUAGAAUGCGAAAAAAAAUACCUUUUUUUUUUAUAAAUUAUUAUAUGUUAAAAUUAAAAUAUUGAACAAAUAACUGAGUAAUUGAAAAACAUGGUAAAAUUUUCAAAAUUUUCAACCCAUUUAUCGGAAAAAAAAAAGUUGUAACCCUUAUUUUUGGUAACCCCUACGAGGUUAUAACUUUAGGUAAAUGUAUAUAGGAAAUUUCCGAAAUCCCUAAUAAAAAACAGAUUAGAUUCACUGGAUUUUAUUUUAAGAAAAAGUUUAGGUAAUGUCACAUAAGAUAAUAUUUUACUUUUUUUAUAAUUAAAAUUAUCAAAAUUUAAAUUUGAUUAUUGAUCGCAGCACUAACUAUUUUGUCUAUCUCUUCCCCAGACGGCUCUUUAAUUCCUUCUCCUUAAUAAUUUUAUUUCAUCUUUCAAUUUUGCCAUUAACAUUUACGUCCCCACCAACAAAACCCAAACAACAAAAAAAGGAGCGAAAGAUUUCUUGGAGGUUGGUUCAAUCUUGAUUCCCGUUCCCUCUAGAAUUAAUUAUGGAAGAAACAGAGAACCCUGGCUUUGUUUUUACCGGAAAGAAGAGAGCUGCAGGGGCUGAUGGAUUUGACGGGGAUGAUCUUUUCGUGGCCAAGACAUCAACCCUAGCACCAGCAUGGGAAAAUGACCCUGCCGCUGCAUUAGCCAGCGCGCGCCAUGAAUUCGGUGAGCAUGGUGGCGUUAACAUGUCUAUUGAGGCCUCCGCCACAUUCACCGUCAUGGAACCUGAGACCAUGCGCCGCAUGUUUGCUGGUGAACUCGGCCCUGAUCGUGAUUUCUUCAUUUAUAGCCGUCACUUCAAUCCCACUGUCUUAAAUCUCGGUCGUCAGAUGGCAGCCAUGGAAGGAACCGAAGCUGCCUAUUGCACUGCCAGCGGUAAUUAAUUUUUCUGUUUCACUUUCACUUUUUAUUUCACACGUAAAAAUCUAAAAAACAUUAUUAUCAAAACCUUCAAUUUGAUGGUUAAUAAUUUGAUUUCGUGAUUACAGGUAUGUCUGCUAUUUCAUCCGUGCUGUUGCAGCUCUGCAGCAGCGGUGGACACGUGGUGGCAUCGAGGACUCUCUACGGCGGGACCUAUGCACUCCUAACCCAUUUCUUGCCCAGAGCCUGUAACAUCACGACCACGUUCGUGGACAUAUGCGAUCACGAAGCGGUGAAAAAUGCCAUCGUCGAAGGACGGACCAAAGUUUUGUACUUCGAGUCCAUGUCGAACCCUACACUCGCUGUAGCCAACAUUCCGGAGCUAAGCAGGCUAGCACACGACAAAGGAACCAUGGUGGUUGUAGACAACACCUUCGCUCCCAUGGUUCUUUCCCCUGCUCGGCUUGGUGCUGAUGUGGUUCUCCAUAGUAUCUCCAAGUUCAUCAGUGGUGGGGCCGAUGUUAUUGCAGGUUUGUUUGUCUCUUUUUUGUCAUUUACCGUACACGAGUCACACAUUAUUAGGUUGGAAAAAGAGCCAUCAAUUACGUGUAAUCUUCUGAUUAAUCAAGUUAAAUGGUUGAAUCUAGGAAUUGACUUCAGAGUUUCGAUGAAAAUUGGCUUUUUCCAAAAAAAAAGAAAAGAAGAAAAAAAAAUACUACCAUGAAUUGAGGAUUCUUAAUCAUAAAAUAAAAUGGGAAAUGAAUAUAGUCUACCAUAGUCCAAAAGUUUCGUUUUCUAGCUAUCUUUUUUAUGGUUGAUAAGGCUAUUCUCCUGCAAUUUCUCUAAUUUUUCAGUUUUUCACCGAUAAGAUCAUUAUCUUGAGGUGUGCGUUUCGAUCCUCCGUUUCCUCUUAUGGAUAAGCGUUCAUGUGAAGUGUUUUGUAUUUUUUAUUUUUCUGAUAAAUUCUGUAUACCAACUUAAAGUUUCAGGGCCUUAAAUUUGACAUUUCUAGUUGAAAAGUUAUAUAUCCCUUCUACAAAAGUUUUUAAUAAUCUUUUGCCCUAAUGUUGUUACCUUGCUAACUUCUAGGCAAAGCUAGAUUGCCAAAAACAUUAGUUCUUGUGAAAUAUAAAUGCUUUUUUAGUCAGUUUAUUGAUAUUGGAAUAUAGUAACUAUUAUUGACCGAGAAUCCUGGAAGUGUAGAUAUGCAUUUUGUUAAUCCAAUAAAAUGAGAAAUUUCAGGUGCUGUUUGUGGUCCUGCAAGCCUGAUGAACUCCAUGAUGGAC